UGACGGUACCUGGAGAAAAAGCAACGGCUAACUACGUGCCAGCAGCCGCGGUAAUACGUAGGUUGCAAGCGUUGUCCGGAUUUACUGGGUGUAAAGGGCGUGUAGGCGGCAUGGCAAGUCAGAAGUGAAAGACCGGGGCUCAACCCCGGGGCUGCUUUUGAAACUGUCGUGCUUGAGUCCAGGAGGGGCAAGCGGAAUUCCUAGUGUAGCGGUGAAAUGCGUAGAUAUUAGGAAGAACACCGGUGGCGAAGGCGGCUUGCUGGACUGGGACUGACGCUGAGGCACGAAAGCGUGGGGAGCAAACAGGAUUAGAUACCCUG
rnacentral:rRNA from 1 species